rnacentral:lncRNA from 10 species
GUUGGUUUCCCUCCAAAAUUCAUAUUGGAACCUACCACCCAAUGUCAUGUAUUAAGGGGUGGGGCCUUUGGGGAAGUAAUUAAGUCAUGAGGGCUGUGCCCUCCUGAAUGAGAUUGAUGCCCUUAUAAAAGGGAUUGAAAGGAGCAACCUUGCGCCUUCCAACACGUGAGCAAGAAGCUGUCAUCUUGGAAGCAGAGAGCGGGUCCUCACGUGAUAUCAAACCUGCCUGUGCUUUUGUCUUGGACUUUCCAGUCUCUGGAACCAUAAGAAAAACAUUUCUGUUGUUUAUAAAUUGCCCAGUCUAAGGUAUUUUUGUUAUAGCAGCCUGAACACACUAAGAUAAGUAUGUUACAUGUUUAUCUACGUAAAUCUGUGUGUGUUUCUGGCCAAGGCUGGGAAACAAGAUAUAGUGUGGGACAAUGAUCAAUUCCAGCUUUCUUAUAGGCCUAGGAUUCUCUCUCCCUAUACAUUGGAUACAGUUCAUCCAUCCUGAGUAAAAUCCUAAAGGUUUAGAUAAAUCAAAUAAGGCUUUGACCCCUGACACCAUCCACUUGCAACUUAAACCCAAGCCACCCAGAAACACCUCCCCUGCUAGGCCCCACCACCGGAAGGAGCCUCUAACACAAAGGCUGACAAUACAAAAGAUGUCUGUCUUAGCCUCCCCUCAUGCUGUCCCUCAAAGAAAAGGGACUGCAGUUGAAACUGAACCAUUCAUGCUGGCUCUGUUCUGCAGAGCUGUGACACAGACGUCCCGAUUUCCCACCUAGAGCCUAGAGGGGCCAGUUGGAAAGCCCGGAUAAUUUCCUCACUACCUUGUCAUCUCCUGAAAGCUGCUUACUCUAGCAGGCCCCCUCUGUUCUGAGGCUGACAUUCCUUCUUUGCUCAUUUCUCUCUGCUUGUGUCUAAUGAGGUGCAGGAGGCUGCUGAAACUGACAAUAGAAUUACCCUGGACUCUAGAUUCUGUCAAUCUCCAUUAGGAGCCCAGGGAGAGAACAGUCAAAGCACCGGGACACCUUGGUGCUGUUAUUGUAAUGGGGUUCACUGCGAGAGCAAACAAAACAACAUCCCCC